UCAUUAUAUAAGUUAUCGUUUAUUUGAUAGUACCUUACUACUUGGAUAACCGUGGUAAUUCUAGAGCUAAUACAUGCUAAAAAUCCCGACUUCGGAAGGGAUGUAUUUAUUAGAUUAAAAACCAAUGCCCUCUGGGCUCCUUGGUGAUUCAUAAUAACUUUUCGAAUCGCAUGGCCUUGCGCCGGCGAUGGUUCAUUCAAAUUUCUUCCCUAUCAACUUUCGAUGUUUGGGUAUUGGCCAAACAUGGUCGCAACGGGUAACGGAGGGUUAGGGCUCGACCCCGGAGAAGGAGCCUGAGAAACGGCUACUACAUCCAAGGAAGGCAGCAGGCGCGCAAAUUACCCAAUCCCGAUUCGGGGAGGUAGUGACAAUAAAUACUGAUACAGGGCUCUUUUGGGUCUUGUAAUUGGAAUGAGUACAAUUUAAAUCCCUUAACGAGGAACAAUUGGAGGGCAAGUCUGGUGCCAGCAGCCGCGGUAAUUCCAGCUCCAAUAGCGUAUAUUAAAGUUGUUGUGGUUAAAAAGCUCGUAGUUGAACCUUGGGCCUGGCUGGCCGGUCCGCCUCACCGCGUGUACUGGUCCGGCCGGGCCUUUCCCUCUGUGGAACCUCAUGCCCUUCACUGGGUGUGGCGGGGAAACAGGACUUUUACUUUGAAAAAAUUAGAGUGCUCCAGGCAGGCCUAUGCUCGAAUACAUUAGCAUGGAAUAAUGAAAUAGGACGUGUGGUUCUAUUUUGUUGGUUUCUAGGACCGCCGUAAUGAUUAAUAGGGACAGUCGGGGGCAUCAGUAUUCAAUUGUCAGAGGUGAAAUUCUUGGAUUUAUUGAAGACUAACUACUGCGAAAGCAUUUGCCAAGGAUGUUUUCAUUAAUCAGGAACGAAAGUUAGGGGAUCGAAGACGAUCAGAUACCGUCGUAGUCUUAACCAUAAACUAUGCCGACUAGGGAUCGGACGAUGUUAUUUUUUGACGCGUUCGGCACCUUACGAGAAAU
rnacentral:rRNA from 1 species